rnacentral:rRNA from 1 species
AUUGAACGCUGGCGGCAGGCCUAACACAUGCAAGUUGAGCGGUAGCACAGAGAGCUUGCUCUCGGGUGACGAGCGGCGGACGGGUGAGUAAUGUCUGGGAAACUGCCUGAUGGAGGGGGAUAACUACUGGAAACGGUAGCUAAUACCGCAUAACGUCGCAAGACCAAAGAGGGGGACCUUCGGGCCUCUUGCCAUCAGAUGUGCCCAGAGGGGAUUAGCUAGUAGGUGGGGUAACGGCUCACCUAGGCGACGAUCCCUAGCUGGUCUGAGAGGAUGACCAGCCACACUGGAACUGAGACACGGUCCAGACUCCUACGGGAGGCAGCAGUGGGGAAUAUUGCACAAUGGGCGCAAGCCUGAUGCAGCCAUGCCGCGUGUAUGAAGAAGGCCUUCGGGUUGAAAAGUACUUUCAGCGGGGAGGAAGGUGUUGAGGUUAAUAACCUCAGCAAUUGACGUUACCCGCAGAAGAAGCACCGGCUAACUCCGUGCCAGCCGCCGCCGUAA